GGUCAAGCUAUUAAGGGCGUACGGUGGAUGCCUAGGCAGAGGAAGGCGAUGAAGGACGCGGUAAGCUGCGAAAAGCCUCGGGGAGCCGCUAAACAGGCUUUGAUCCGGGGGUAUCCGAAUGGGGAAACCCU
rnacentral:rRNA from 1 species